AAGAUGGCGACCGGCGCACGGGUGAGUAACACGUAUCCAACCUGCCGAUGACUCGGGGAUAGCCUUUCGAAAGAAAGAUUAAUACCCGAUGGCAUAGUUCUUCCGCAUGGUAGAACUAUUAAAGAAUUUCGGUCAUCGAUGGGGAUGCGUUCCAUUAGGUUGUUGGCGGGGUAACGGCCCACCAAGCCUUCGAUGGAUAGGGGUUCUGAGAGGAAGGUCCCCCACAUUGGAACUGAGACACGGUCCAAACUCCUACGGGAGGCAGCAUG
rnacentral:rRNA from 1 species